CCAGUGACUUUGUUCAACGGCCGCGGUAUCCUAACCGUGCGAAGGUAGCGUAAUCACUUGUUCUUUAAAUGAGGACUAGUAUGAAUGGCACCACGAAGGUUAUACUGUCUCCUUUCUUUAAUCAGUGAAACUAAUCUCCCCGUGAAGAAGCGGGGAUGUAGUUAUAAGACGAGAAGACCCUAUGGAGCUUUAAACAUAAGUAACAAUUGCCCACCACAACAUCUAAUCCACGGAUAUUAACCACAACAUUUAGGCAUCUUGAUUACAAGUUUUAGGUUGGGGUGACCGCGGAGCAAAAAAUAACCUCCGCAGUGAAUGGAACUUAUUUCCUAAACCCAGGGCUACGACCCUAAGAAUCAAUAAAUUGACACCAAUUGACCCAAUAUUUUGAUCAAUGAACCAAGUUACCCUAGGGAUAACAGCGCAAUCCACUUCAAGAGCCCCUAUCGACAAGUGGGUUUACGACCUCGAUGUUGGAUCAGGGUAUCCCAGUGGUGCAGCCGCUACUAAAGGUUCGUUUGUUCAACGAUUAAAACCCUACGUGAUCU
rnacentral:rRNA from 1 species